UGCUUACUAACCGAUCCUUCCGGAUGGAGCUUCCUAAUGGAAAACCCUAUCGGACUUGGCUUCAGUCGCUGAUUCUAGCUUCAACCGAUCUCAACUUCGAAAGUCAAUCCAAAUUAUCCACUGAUUUCUAUUUCAAUCACACAUCUUAGCCACCUGCAUCAGAGCGGCUCUCAUCUCCACUUACCAUGCCACUUAUCGAUCC
rnacentral:lncRNA from 1 species